rnacentral:tRNA from 1 species
CAUUAAGUGGCUGAAACAAAAUAAGCAUUGGUCUCUUAAACCAACCCAUAGUUAUAUAACUCUUAAUG